GGGCCCGUAGCUCAGCCAGGCAGAGCGCCCGGCUCAUAACCGGGUGGUCCGGGGUUCAAAUCCCCGCGGGCCCA
rnacentral:tRNA from 1 species